CUCAGAGGCCUUGCAAGAAAGAAACUGAGGUUCUUGGAACUGACGCCUCAGACAGCUUCCGGUGCCUGCUGUCAGAGAAACUGCCCCCAGCGAGAAAACAUCCUACUUCUAGCUUACCAAGAACAAGGCUGUCACCCAAACGCCUCCCUCUUCUACCCAGCCUCCAUCCCAUCAUUGGGGAUCUGUACUCCACACCUUGUCCCUGCCUUCGGCACUUGUUCCUCUCAGUCUAAUGGGACACACACAGGCUGGACUCCAACUCCUGAGCUCAAGCGACCUGCCUGCCUCAGUCUCCCAAGUAGCCAGGACCACAGGUGUGGCCCACAAGCCACCAUGCCCGCCUCACCUGUUUUUAAGACAGCAGUUGAAGCCAUCACUGCAGGCAGGAUGGCCUAGGAGUUGGAUUUGGGACAGGCAGAAAGGAGAAGAAGGGGAGCCUGCUUACCUCUUCUGGGAGCACCAGAGCCGG